rnacentral:rRNA from 1 species
AGUGAACGCUGGCGGUAGGCCUAACACAUGCAAGUCGAACGGCAGCACAGGAGAGCUUGCUUUCUGGGUGGCGAGUGGCGGACGGGUGAGGAAUACAUCGGAAUCUACUCUGUCGUGGGGGAUAACGUAGGGAAACUUACGCUAAUACCGCAUACGACCUACGGGUGAAAGCAGGGGACCUUCGGGCCUUGCGCGAUUGAAUGAGCCGAUGUCGGAUUAGCUAGUUGGCGGGGUAAAGGCCCACCAAGGCGACGAUCCGUAGCUGGUCUGAGAGGAGGAUCAGCCACACUGGAAAUGAGACACGGACCAGACGCCUACGGGAGGCAGCAGUGGGGAAUAUUGGACAAUGGGCGCAAGCCUGAUCCAGCCAUUCCGCGUGGGUGAAGAAGGCCUUCGGGUUGUAAAGCCCUUUUGUUGGGAAAGAAAUCCAGCUGGCUAAUACCCGGUUGGGAUGACGGUACCCAAAGAAUAAGCACCGGCUAACUUCGUGCCAGCAGCCGCCGUAA